rnacentral:lncRNA from 1 species
GCGCGACCAACUUUCGCGGCUUACGAUUGAAUAGUAACCCCCUGCACGGAGCAUGGAAGACCCGGGGGGUGCGACCAACUUUCGUGGCUUAUGGUUAAAGGUCCACCCUGCACGGAGUUUGGCAGACCCGGGGGAUGCACACCACCUUCCAUGGCUUACGGUUAAGUGAACACCCUGCACGAGGCUUGGCAGACCCGGGGGGUGCACACCACCUCUCGUGACUUACGGUUAAGGACAACCUCUGCGCGGAGCAUGGAGGACCCGGGGGGUGUAACCAACUUUCGCGGCUUACGAUUAUGUGCCACCUCUGCGCGGAGCAUGGAAGGCCCGGUUGGCACGACCAACUUUCGCGGCUUACGAUUGAAAGAACACCCUGCACGGAGCAUGGAGGACCCGGGGGGUGCCACCAACUUUCGUGGCUUACGGUUAAAGCAACCUCUGCGCGGAGCAUGGAAAACCCGGGGGUGCAACAACUUUCGCGGCUUACGAUUAAGUGCUAUCUCUGCGCGGAGCAUGGAAGGCCCGACUGGCACAACCAACUUUCGCGGCUUUACGAUUGUCAGCAACCUCUGCGCGGAGCAUGGAGGGCCCGGAUGGCACAACCAACUUUCGCGGCUUACGAUUGUCAGCAA